UAGUAACCAAAUUCCUUUGUUGACAGGCUCCUACUUUCCAUAAAUUCGAAAUUUGCGGCUGGAAAACUUAUAUUGCGAGUUUUAGUGCCUGAUUUUGAUGCCUAUGUUAAGGGAUGCUCUCCAUCAUCCCUUUUUCCAUGCAGCUCAGCACCCACAUACACCUGUUCUUGCAAUUUUUCAGCUAUUGCGUCAGCGAGUUCCCUCAAAGGAAGCAUGCCUGCCAAAACAAAAGCUCAUUCAUGGAGUACAAUACACACACAAUGCAAGCAUUUUGAUGAAAAUCCAACAAGCUGCAUAGUCCAGCACACUUGGAUCAAACACAACGACUCAUUAGUUUUGCACAAAAUAAAUACCCUUCGAUAAAAACCCAACAGAUUGUAUAAUCCAAAAAGACUUGAAUCAAACACAACUGUUUGUUUGUCAUUGUUUUUUAACUGUCAGUUUUCAAAUAUGUUUUAACAAUAAUUCUUGGGGAAAAAAUGAAUCCAUUUUGUGGACCAUCCAUUGUCAGCAAACAGAAAACUUGUUUGGUGAGUUAACUCUAAGAACAAGUUUCAAAGCCUGCUUUAUUUUGAAUUUGUCAAAUAAAAAAUAUAAAACUAUUUACUAGCUGUU